UCUUAAUUAUCUUUGUUAAACAAAAGAAAGUUUGUGAACACUGUAAAGGAGAGAUGAACAUUUGUCAUAAUCUUGGACAUCACAUACCGAGUAUGGAGCUGUCAAAUGAUUUGGCUGGUCAAGCAGUGGAAGCAAACUAUGCAUCAGUUGCAUUCUACACAAGAGCAGAAAGAGAGAAGAAGAAAGCAUUUGAGCAUGAAUGUGUUUACUCUGAUGUCAGAUCAGACCAUCAGCAGGUCUCUUCUUCUUGAUGAAGGCAGGACCCAGACACCAACCUCGUCAGGAAUGCUUACUUACUUAAUCUGUAUUGUGUAUCAUUUAAUUUUCAACUGGCAAGUCAAAAUUAUGGGAUUAGGUUCACAUGUCAGAAUGUGUACUAAGGAGUUUCUGCAAAUAGUUACAGUCAGCUAAUGCUAAAGCACAAUAUUAGCACUUAAUUAGUUACAGAAUUGAAAUACUGUAUAGAUAUACUGUGAAACAAAACAAAUAUAUCCAUAUAUCACUUUAAAAUGUCAGUUGAAUUAAAGAAAUACAUCUAAUGUCAAAGAGAAUUUAGCUAAACACAAAAAGUACUGGAAAAAAGGGAAAACACUAAAUUUCUGUAAGAUUCUCAGGUUUAAAACUUGAUAAACUCUUGGUUUGUAGUAUUUUUAUAUAGACUGGUUCCCAUCAAUUCUCCCAAGUUUUCAGAGAGCUGCAAAACAAUCAUCAACUGUUCUGUUCUUUAAAUCACACCAACACCAAAACAGCUUCAGUGUUUCCACACCAGGCAAAUAACACACUGUAUGUUACUAAGAUUCUAAAUAAAUAAAAAAAAAACAUUUGAAUUGAAACCUGAUUUUAACAUUAAAUAUGU